rnacentral:rRNA from 1 species
UACGAAGGGUGCAAGCGUUACUCGGAAUUACUGGGCGUAAAGCGUGCGUAGGUGGUUCGUUAAGUCUGAUGUGAAAGCCCUGGGCUCAACCUGGGAAUUGCACUGGAUACUGGCGGGCUAGAGUGCGGUAGAGGAUGGCGGAAUUCCCGGUGUAGCAGUGAAAUGCGUAGAGAUCGGGAGGAACAUCUGUGGCGAAGGCGGCCAUCUGGACCAGCACUGACACUGAGGCACGAAAGCGUGGGGAGCAAACA